CGGUGGAGCAUGUGGUUUAAUUCGAAGCAACGCGAAGAACCUUACCAGGCCUUGACAUGCAGAGAACUUUCCAGAGAUGGAUUGGUGCCUUCGGGAACUCUGACACAGGUGCUGCAUGGCUGUCGUCAGCUCGUGUCGUGAGGUGUUGGGUUAAGUCCCGUAACGAGCGCAACCCUUGUCCUUAGUUACCAGCACGUUAUGGUGGGCACUCUAAGGAGACUGCCGGUGACAAACCGGAGGAAGGUGGGGAUGACGUCAAGUCAUCAUGGCCCUUACGGCCUGGGCUACACACGUGCUACAAUGGUCGGUACAAAGGGUUGCCAAGCCGCGAGGUGGAGCUAAUCCCAUAAAACCGAUCGUAGUCCGGAUCGCAGUCUGCAACUCGACUGCGUGAAGUCGGAAUCGCUAGUAAUCGUGAAUCAGAAUGUCACGGUGAAUACGUUCCCGGGCCUU
rnacentral:rRNA from 1 species